rnacentral:rRNA from 1 species
GACGUAGGGCGCGAGCGUUGUCCGGAAUCACUGGGCGUAAAGGGUGCGUAGGUGGCUCGUUAAGCGUGUGGUGAAAGCCUGGGGCUCAACCCCAGGUCUGCCGUGCGAACUGGCGAGCUUGAGCAUAGUAGAGGCAGGCGGAAUUCCGGGUGUAGCGGUGGAAUGCGUAGAUAUCCGGAAGAACACCGGUGGCGAAGGCGGCCUGCUGGGCUAUUGCUGACACUGAGGCACGACAGCGUGGGGAGCAAACAGG